CCGCGCCGUCCUCCGCUUUCUCCAGCCGCCUAUGUCGCCCAUGGCAUCACCAUAGCCAUCAGCAUAGGCCGACGAUUCCCCAAUAUCCGACGCCAUAUCUCCCACCAGCAAUUUUCCAACAAUCCCACCCCUAAUCCCAACCCUAAUCCGUCGCCCAUUCUCAUCUUAUUCUUCUUCGGCCUCUCUGAGUCCGGAUUUGAAAAAAGCCCUGUCGAUUUUUAUUUCUGUUUCAUUGUAGUCUUACUGACUGAAGAACUCUUCCUCUCUCGCUCUUCACAUCUCUCAGAUCUAGCGGGGGAGAAAUCCCUGCCACCAACCUCCGAAGAAUUCGAAAAACAUUCCAGGUUGCCGCCAGUUUCUCGCUGCUGCUGACGCAAUCGCCUCUGUCUGCUUCUCUUCGUCUACCGCCACUCGGCCGCCGGGCUAGAAAUCGCCAUCACCGCCGCUGCCCACCUCCUCU
rnacentral:lncRNA from 1 species